CUCUCCCUCUUUUCUUCUCUCUCUAAUCUCUCUUUCUCUCUCUAAUCUCUCCACUUUUUCUCUCUACUUUCUUUCUCUAAAAUUCUCUCUCUAUGUUAUUUCUCUCUCCUAAGAUUUUUUAGAAUUUUGAAAAGAAUGAUGAUGAAUUUAAAUGAUCCUAGUGAUGCAUUUUGAUCUGUGAUCAUCGGACGGUACAUCGAUAUCCACCUUGAUAAGGCCUAAUAUUUUUCAAAAUUCUAUUUCUAAUGAUUUUAUUGAAUAUCCACAUGAUAAUUUCAGCAUGAUUUGAUCUGAUCGAUUGGAUUUGUUGAAACAUAUUGUCUGAAGAGUUCAAGAUGAAUUUUCUCUCUAAAUUAUUUUUUUACUAAAACUAUUUCUCUCUCUUGAUCGAUUUUUCUCUCUAAAAAAAUUAUCAAUGAAAAUUUUUUUUAAAUAUUUCUGAUCUGAUGAAGAAUCCUGAUCCAUGAUUGUCAGGUAGUGUACUGGCACUCACCUUGAUCAGACUCGAUAUUUCUCAAUUUGAUUAUCCAUGAUCCUGAUUUAACCAUGACUUGGAUUAGAUCAUUUUGAUCACACCAAUCGAGAUGUUGGACUGUGGCACCCGAUUAAUUUGGAUUGUAUCUCAUGAAUUCUCUCUCCUCUGAUUUUUUCUCUCCACUUGAUUCAUGAACCCAAUGAAAAAACCUCGAUCUUAUCACUUCGAAUCCAAUUUGAUCUGAUAGUCAAACUUUGGAUCGUUUAUAUUCUAAUUAGAUUUUAAUCAGAUGAAAUUAGAUGAUCAGACCACUCGGACGAUAGGAUACGAGUGUCCAUCAAUUCUAUCUUUUUUAAUUAUUCAUGUCUUAUCUAAU
rnacentral:lncRNA from 1 species